UUAACUCAAUUUUGUAUGGAGUUGGAACAGCGCCCCUAGCGGCAAACGAAGGGAAGCUGUUCCAACUCCAUACAAAUUUGAAAAA
rnacentral:pre_miRNA from 1 species